GGAGCCGGAGCGCCCCAGAACGCCUUUCCCAAAAACGGCUCCAGGGAACUUUUCCUUGUUGGAUCACCCCUGCCCCACGCGGAUCCCACCCCAGGCUGGGAAUUCCCUGAGGCAGCUCAGGAGCUCCCACGGCCACGGAACAGCGGGAACAGCGGGAUUGCCCCGAGAUCCCAACUCCUCCUCCUCCUCCUCCUCCUCCUCCUCCCCAGCUCCGCUGGGAGCAGCCGGAGGGAUGGGAUGGGAAGGGAUGGGAUGGAUCCCUCAGAGGGCUGGGAUGGGAUGGGAUGGGUUGGGAAGGGAUGGGCUGGAUCCUUCAGAGGGAUGGGUUGGGAAGGGCUGGAUCCUUCAGAGGGAUGGGAUGGGAUGGGAUGGAUCCUUCAGAGGGAUGGGAUGGGAUGGGUUGGAUCCUUCAGAGGGAUGGGAUGGGAUGGGUUGGAUCCUUCAGAGGGAUGGGUUGGAUCCCUCAGAGGGAUGGGAUGAAGGCUCCUGGGAUGGGAUGGGAUGGAUCCCACAGAGGGAUGGGAUGAAGGCUCCUGGGAAGGACGGGAUGAAGGCUCCUGGGAUGGGAUGGGAUGAAGGCUCCUGGGAUGGGAUGAAGGCUCCUGGAAGGAUGGGAUGAAGGCUCCUGGGAUGGGAUGGGAUGGGAUGGAUCCCUCAGAGGGAUGGGAUGAAGGCUCCUGGGAGGGAUGGGAUGGAUCCCUCAGAGGGAUGGGAUGAAGGCUCCUGGGAUGGGAUGAAGGCUCCUGGGAGGGUUGGGAUGGGAUGAAGGCUCCUGGGAUGGGAUGAAGGCUCCUGGAAGGAUGGGAUGAAGGCUCCUGGGAUGGAUCCCUCAGAGGGAUGGGAUGAAGGCUCCUGGGAUGGGAUGAAGGCUCCUGGGAUGGGAUGAAGGCUCCUGGGAGGGCAGCAGCUCCAGCUCUUCCCCAUCCUCCUCUCCCCUCUCUCCAAACCGUUCUCCCCUCAUCAAUCAACCCUUGAAGAGCUGGUUUUUAUCUCCUCUUGCACCAGAUCCAACUCGCCAAAAAUAAUCCAUAAAAAUGCGGUAUAAAAAUCCUCUGCCGUGUGCUACGAUACAG
rnacentral:lncRNA from 1 species